UAGGGAAUCUUCGGCAAUGGGGGGAACCCUGACGGAGCAACGCCGCGUGAGUGAAGAAGGAUUUCGGUUCGUAAAACUCUGUUGUUAGGGAAGAAAAAAUGUAUAGUAACUAUAUACAAAAGAGACGGUACCUAACCAGAAAGCCACGGCUAACUACGUGCCAGCAGCCGCGGUAAUACGUAGGUGGCAAGCGUUGUCCGGAAUUAUUGGGCGUAAAGCGCGCGCAGGUGGUUUAGAAAGUCUGAUGUGAAAGCCCACGGCUCAACCGUGGAGGGUCAUUGGAAACUAAUAAACUUGAGUGCAGGAGAGAAAAGUGGAAUUCCUAGUGUAGCGGUGAAAUGCGUAGAGAUUAGGAGGAACACCGGUGGCGAAAGCGGCUUUUUGGCCUGCAACUGACACUGAGGCGCGAAAGCGUGGGGAGCAAACAGG
rnacentral:rRNA from 1 species